GAAAAUCUAAUUUUCUGCUUGUGAAAAUAUUUUGACAGUGAAUGUAUGUAACUUGUCGUACAAGAACACAGAUUUUAAGAGCAGUAGAAUUCUAAUUCAACAAACCCCUCCUCCGUUUUUUUGUACAGGACAAGAAAGACAUGAAUUAGGGCAGUUCUCAAAAGAGAGAAGUCUUUCUCAUGUACGUGUAUAUUUUGUUAAUUCAGAAAUAGUACAUGUAGCACUUUAUUUGAAAGAGAAAAAAAACACAAACUGAAGAAAAUAUUUUGAAUAGUUGUGCAUAUGUACUUGGAUAACUGCACACUCAAUUUGUAUGUCUGUGUGUGUGUGUAAGUGCUAGGUGGAACUCAGACUGUAUAAGUCGAUGUGUUUUGGUCUUGCCAGAUCGCGAGGGAAUUCCACAAGUAUUGCAUUCAGUGGAAAAAUGUAUACAUAUACUGAUUUUAUUAAUAUCCUGUAUUCAUUCAUAUCCAACAUUUUUUUUCUCUGUUUAACAUGGAUGUUAAAUCAUUAUUUGCUGUGAAAUUUUAAUUUUGUCCUUACGAAAUAGCUACAAUGUGAAUCGGGCUCCAUAAUAUAAUCGUCAAGAUUCUGAAAGGGAAAACAAAAUGUGCUGUACUUGUUGUCUUGUUGUACUCUUUAAUUAAUCAUUGUGUAUGAUGAGAAAAAAAAAUGUAACAUUUUUUAAAAAUUUCCCUUUUGUCACCAAGUGCCUGUGUGAAAUGAUAACAGAAUAUUGUGAUAUUAUUUUCUUCUUAGAUAGGGAAGGUGAUGGAUAAACAUAACUAUAUAGCUAUUAGGACUCUCAUUCUUUCUUGCUCGUUCUUUCUCUCUCUCCUUGUCUCUCUCUCUCUUAAACUGCGAUCUCUUGGUAGGUGAAACAGCUAAAAUAAUCAUAAUUAGAAGAAAAUUUAAUCAACUGUAGAUUUAGCACUAAUUAUCUACAAUAUUUCUGUACACUUGAUCAAGAAUUGUUCUGGUUGAGAUGAGCUCAUUAACAAGCUUAUAAGCUUACCCGAUUGAAAACCCCAUCUUUAUCCUUACAGAAUUCUAUAAAAUAAUGUGGACACCCAAGAAUCGAAGCUAAUUCAGAAAUAACAGCUAUUUUCUCUUAACUACCAUUAGUACUAGGUAUUAGGCUAAAAAAUUGUCAAUUAUUUCAUGGUGUUAAUAAGCACAUUACUGACAAAUGAAGAAUUCCAACAACUCUCCAAGUGUUUAAUUCAUUAAAUUAACAUCAGAUCUGUAUCAUUUUACAGAGGUUUAUUUUAAAAUGUAAAUUAUGGGAGUUGCAAACAAAAUUCAGUGAGCCCUGAUUGACGUAGAGGACAUUUUGUGAAUUACAAAUAUAUAUCUGGCACGUGUUGUAUCUACUGCAAUACCGGUGAGCAUAAAGACUAUUAAUUACGUAUUUUUCAAUCACAAAAUGUGUGAUAGUAAUUAAUCAGCAAAGGUUUUUUUCAUUGUAUUUUUAACUUGUUGCCAUGCAAAUAUCUGUCUUUUUAGGCACAUUAUACAGAUUUUAUAUUUUUAUUUUUCAUACAAAUUUCUGAGAAGUAUUACAAUAUCCUCAGAUGUAAGACUUCUUUCUAUGCUCAGAUAUCAUCAAUGAGGGAAUCGUGGUCAAUUUUUAAAUAAAUCGUAUGUCAAUAAUCGAAAUGAGCCAAAAUUGAUUUUCAUUGGAAAAAUUUACGGAAAAAAAUUCACUCUGUUGCUUUGUAUGUAAAAUCCGGGCCAAAUAAAUUAAAAAACAUCAGAACAGUUUC
rnacentral:misc_RNA from 1 species